rnacentral:snRNA from 1 species
GGAUGUGAGGGCAAUCUGGCUGUGACAGCUCUCACUCCAUUGGUCACCUGGAUUCAUAGAGCUGAUCUGGCUGACUAAGUGAGUGUCCUCUUCCUCCCUCACCACUCCAUGUGUGCCUCUUCUGAAGUUAUAAGCUCCACUGAGAGGAUGCUCUUCUCAGAAUAGAGAAGGACCAAUCCAGUUGAGGUCUUCAGUUCACGUAGCUAUGCUCACCCAGGAGAACCUCCAAACAAACUCAAUGCUUAUUAAUUCUAAGUUUGAUUAAUUCCAAGACUAAUUUGGUUCUCUGUGUCAUCUUACUGCUAGUAAGUACUGUUAAUUA